rnacentral:rRNA from 1 species
UAGGGAAUCUUCGGCAAUGGGGGGAACCCUGACCGAGCAACGCCGCGUGAGUGAAGAAGGUUUUCGGAUCGUAAAGCUCUUUUGUUAAGGAAGAACGAGUGUGAGAAUGGAAAGUUCAUGCUGUGACGGUACUUAACCAGAAAGGGACGGCUAACUACGUGCCAGCAGCCGCGGUAAUACGUAGGUCCCGAGCGUUGUCCGGAUUUAUUGGGCGUAAAGCGAGCGCAGGCGGUUAGAAAAGUCUGAAGUGAAAGGCAGUGGCUCAACCAUUGUAGGCUUUGGAAACUGUUUAACUGGAGUGCAGAAGGGGAGAGUGGAAUUCCAUGUGUAGCGGUGAAAUGCGUAGAUAUAUGGAGGAACACCGGUGGCGAAAGCGGCUCUCUGGUCUGUAACUGACGCUGAGGCUCGAAAGCGUGGGGAGCGAACAGG